AUUGAACGCUGGCGGCAGGCCUAACACAUGCAAGUCGAACGAGUGGCGGACGGGUGAGUAAUUUCUGGGAAACUGCCCGAUGGAGGGGGAUAACUACUGGAAACGGUAGCUAAUACCGCAUACCAUCUGAUUUGCCCAGAGGGGCUUGGCUAGUAGGCGGGGUAACGGCGCACCUAGGCGACGAUCCCUAGCUGGUCUGAGAGGAUGACCAGCCAAACUGGAACGGAGACACGGCCCAGACUCCUACGGGAGGCAGCAGUGGGGAAUAUUGCACAAUGGGCGCAAGCCUGAUGCAGCCAUGCCGCGUGUAUGAAGAAGGCCUUCGGGUUGUAAAGUACUUUCAGCGGGGAGGCGUUACUCGCAGAAGAAGCACCGGCUAACUCCGUGCCAGCAGCCGCGGUAAUAC
rnacentral:rRNA from 1 species